rnacentral:rRNA from 1 species
AUCUGGUUGAUCCUGCCAGUUAUAGGUGGUUAUCCCACAGUAGUCAUACUCUCGUCAAAAAGAAACCCCACGCAUGUAAAAGUAAAAAUUUUUAUUUGAAAUGUGAAAAUGUCUCUAAAUCUCAUUUAUAGUUAUUAAAAUAAAAUGUUUUUUUGGGAUACCGUUGUAAUUUUGGGAUUAAAUACAUAAUAAAUUCCUGGUUUUGAAAGGGGUGUUUAUUAAAAUGAAAACCAUAUGCUUUGGCAUGAUAGGGAGAAAUAAUAACCUUUCUAUUCCAAUGUUGACAUAACGAUAGUUCUUUCAAGUUUCUGCCCUAUCAGCUUUCAAUGGAAGGGAUUUGGACUACCAUGGCAGAAACGGGUAACAAAAAAUUUGGGUUCGAUUUCGGAAAGGGAGCCUGAGAGAUGGCUACCACAUCCAAGGAAGGCAGCAGGCGCGUAAAUUACCCAAUCCUGACAUAGGGAGGAAGGGACAAUAAAUCACAAUGCGGGACUAUUUUUUUUUAUUGGAUUGUGAAAAACAUGGAACACUUAUCGAUAAAAAAUUGGAGGGGGAAACUGGUGGGGCCACCCCCCGCAAUUCCACCUCCUCCAAAAUAUAUUAUAACCGUUGUGGCUAAAAAAAUCACAAGAGCUUUUUAACUGCAACAACG